GCUGCAGUGAGCAGGGUCCGCCGGCGGGUGGCGCCAGUGAGCAGCUCCCGCUCGGUGAGUGGCCGGAAACGAGGAAGCGAAGAAGAGAACUUGAAGCAGGCUGUCUGCUGUCGUCCAGGCGGUGACCGACAGAUGCCUUCAUCAUGAUGCUGAGCUGCAGCGCUCUGGUCGUCGCCCUCCUGCUGUCCCAGGUCCGAGGCUUCCUGGGCCCCUCGGAGGACGACGACAUCGUCCCCGAGGAGUGGGUGCUGCUUCACGUGGUCCAGGGCCACAUCGGGGCCGGAAACUACAGCUACCUGCGCCUCAACCACGACGGCCGGAUCAUCCUGCACAUGCAAAGCCUCAAGGGAGACGCCGACCUGUACGUGUCGGAUAAAACUCUGCGGCCGAGCUUCGACACGUACAAGCUGCAGUCGGUCACCUGCGGCCGGGAUGUGGUGGUGGUGCCGGGGGACUUCUCCAGGCCCGUGGGCAUCGGGAUUUACGGGCACCCGUCUUACAAGGAGAGCGAGUUUGAAAUGCGGGUGUUUUAUGAUCAGACGGCUCCCCAGGACCCGUUCGAUAAGGGCUCAUACACUUCAGAGGACGGGUACAAGCAGAAGAGAUCCCCUCAGGCGGCGGAGGAGGACUUUCAGGAGGAGGAGUCGAUCUUUUGGACCAUUCUGAUCGGACUCUUGAAGAUCAUACUUGAGAUUUUGUUUUGAAAAUUGCUGCUGUGACUGUGGCUCAGUCAGCGUCGAUGUAUUAACAAACCCCAGAGAGAAAUCUGGCUUUUUAACAGUUUCUUUUCCUUGUCAUCAAACAUACGUACUUGAUUUAGAAAAAACCAAAACGCACCGGUUUCAGAAGGCGUUGAUGAAUGCUGAAUUGAAGCCAGAAAAUGUUUCACAAAGUGUGUAUGUCUGGUGAUAAGCAAAUCAACAUUAGUCAGAUUUAGCAGCUUUGGUGUCCCCUCGUAGAAAAGGCAGAAGGAAGCGUGUUGAGGUGAAGUACAGACACAUAGAUGUGAACCGCAGUUCAACCAAAGGGGCAAGAGGAGGCAUAUUUCUGGGGCUGUGUGUAAGUUGAAAGAGUUAUAGACUGGAGCCCUUCCCGAGGUGACGGCGAACAAAAACCUUUGUUCUGUGCAAAAAAACUUACAUUUGAAGCGAGCCUGAUUGUGUUUGGUGCUGCUCUGGAACCAGUUUUCUGGGCCGCGACACAAACAAACAGCUGGUUUGAGAUCAGACGCCCUCAAACUGCCUCAGUCGAACAGAUUCACUUUAAAAACACGUGUGCGGACAGCAGGUACGAUCGCUGACUCUCACCUCGGCCUGUGAAUGAAUGAAUGAAGCCGCUUGUCUUAACUCCGCAUAUCAACGCCACACAGCUCGUAAGUGUGUGUGGGUUUAAAUAUCACAAAAACUUAGCAAUACAGUGAUUGUCAGCCAUUCUGAGACACAGAAGAAGGCCUGAACUCGUACUUUAUGUCACACGAGCAGAUCGUUUAGGGAAAUCAUUGAAGGUAAAGCUGCUAAACAUGCUGUGAUCGUUAUUCUGUCUUCGUUUGCUGUUAACGGCGUAAUUUCAACUCCAAAUGGGAACAUGUGGUUCACGGACGUACUGCUACCGACCUGUUAUUAGCAGCAACAUCUCUUUGUUUUUCGUUUGUUUGUUUUGCCUGUUGGACAAGCUCCUGAUUUCAAACAUCACCUCCUGCCGUUGGAGUUCAGUUAUGAGUAAACUUGCGACCACUGAGCAGAAAUGUUCAACAGUGCCUUCAGAUAUCAGUCGUCUGCAGGGUGAACGAGCCGAGCAGUUUUCCUGUUUCCAGAAGACGAUGCAGUCAGGUUUGAAGAAGUGAAGCAACCUGCAGCUCAGAUGAUGGAUCUGUUUACCAGAAGGUUGAUAGUUCGAGUCCCAGCAGAAGACGUGAAAAUGUUCUUCUGUCUGUAGAUUGAAGAGAGAACCUGCAGCUGAGUUAGCACCUACAGUUCCUCCUCCUCAAAGGCAGUUAGUUUUUUGGAGUUCCUGAAAUAAGGACUGUGGUUAACAGGCUUAAGAGUCUUUCACUUUUUGUUUGACGACAUAAAACACGUCAGUAAAUAACCCCACCUGUGACUUUUGAAGCUUUUAUGAUGCUAACAAGCAGCUAAAUGAAAGAGGUUUUCAAUGACGAUGGAACAGUUAUACUCUAAAUAUAGAAUUUAAUUAAUCGCUGGAAGUUUAGUGGCGGUGAAUUGGGACCAAGAAAAGUCUCA